UUUUGCAUUAACCCGAAAGAAUCUCCUUAUAAUUGAGUGUGCAGUAAAGGGGGUUGUUACACCAAAUCCCUCUGGUGAAGCUCUAUCCAACUGCUUGUUAAUAGCGGAUUGGGUAUUGGUCGAUCGAAAGCUGUGAUACGCAAAAUCCUCAGCAGAAUGAAAUGCGGACUACAAUUAAGUUAGUUGAAAAAGAGAGUAAGGAAUGGGACCGUCAACAGGAACUCUUGAAUUGAGGGUUUUUCACACUACCUAUAGAGAGAUUGAACCAACACGGUGCCCACGGUAACUCCUCCACCCGUACUGUUUGCUUUCGUGGGGCUUUGCUGCGCUUUGGAUCUUAUCAGGUGGCAACCACCUUCGGUUCUAGACUCUGGCACUUCCCCUGGCUGUGGCACUUUCACUGCCGCCUACUCCUACUAUUGGGUCGGUUGUGGUUGGUGUUUUUAUUCAAAAGUGGAGAAUAGAUUGUUCAUUGCGAAGGAAAUCAGAAAUCUACAUACAAGGGUCANNNNNNNNNNAUAUAGCUGUUUUGCCUUCUUUCUUGGACUCUCAGGUGAGCGCUUAGGCCAAGCCACAAUUACCAAGGCAUGAUUGAAUCCGCCAAAGAGAAGGGAAUAGAUGAUCUCACUGGAAAAAGUUGCGUAACCCCCCCCCCCCGUUUUUUUGGCAUGAUUUCAAGAUUUUGACCUGAUUUAUGAGAAAAGAACUUAGUUUUGCAUUAACCCGAAAGAAUCUCCUUAUAAUUGAGUGUGCAGUAAAGGGGGUUGUUACACCAAAUCCCUCUGGUGAAGCUCUAUCCAACUGCUUGUUAAUAGCGGAUUGGGUAUUGGUCGAUCAAAAGCUGUGAUACGCAAAAUCCUCAGCAGAAUGAAAUGCGGACUACAAUUAAGUUAGUUGAAAAAGAGAGUAAGGAAUGGGACCGUCAACAGGAACUCUUGAAUUGAGGGUUUUUCACACUACCUAUAGAGAGAUUGAACCAACACGGUGCCCACGGUAACUCCUCCACCCGUACUGUUUGCUUUCGUGGGGCUUUGCUACGCUUUGGAUCUUAUCAGGUGGCAACCACCUUCGGUUCUAGACUCUGGCACUUCCCCUGGCUGUGGCACUUUCACUGCCGCCUACUCCUACUAUUGGGUCGGUUGUGGUUGGUGUUUUGAUUCAAAAGUGGAGAAUAGAUUGUUCAUUGCGAAGGAAAUCAGAAAUCUACAUACAAGGGUCAAGAUGUAAGCUCAAGUUAAGUGGACGGGUCCAAAGAUCAGGGAAAAGGGUAGACCGGGACAUGGUUGCAAGGGCUAUAUAUCUAUAUAGUUACAAAUGAAUGAAAACGCCAUGCUUAAAGCCAAAAGAAUAAGCUCUUGAUACGGAUCUCUUUCAUCUUGUAAAUAAAGUAGGGGCGUCCCUAACUACAGCUUCCUACCAUAAGUAAGACAUUCAGCUAAUACUGAAGAAAUCUUCUUCUGGGGACACCUCUCUAAAAUAAGAAUGAUGGUGUUUUAAAUCUUAUUCGUUUUCUGAUCGAGAAAUGCGAGAAUGUAGUUAUUUUUAUGAAACCGGAUAUUCAACAUGCUUUCCUCGACCAGAUCUAUUUACGGGAGUCGUAUUUCGAACUGACCCCGGGUCUGAUCUAGAAAUGGUAAAUCCUAUUUGAUCUUCAAGGUUAAGUACUUCUGCGAGACUAUCAGCAUCUUAUCUGGUUGAUAGCACUCAACCCACUGACUAUACGUUUUAUAUGGGAGCCCUAACUCCACCAUGCAAUUCAACAAGCUGAGGACGGAGAAGUCAACCGGUCUCACGUUUUCUUCUUUUCUUUUUAAAGAACCUGCCCCGAAGGAAAGCAUAUUAUAGGGGAAGAGCUAGCUUCAUUCGAGCUGGAUGGGCUAAAAGCUUUCGUUGAGACAAAGCAGGCAAAAAAAAAGUUCGAGAACAGGAUAACUAACGUUUGGAACCAAGAGAUCUCAUAGUUCUUCAAGUGAGAAGCUAAGAAGGGAUGACACCCAUUUGACCUAGAAGACCGAUGAUCAAGUGUCAAAUUCUAAGCCAAGAGAUGGCAAUGGGACUAUAGGAGCACGGUACUAAACCAUCAUACCAUACCGGUGACUUCACCAACCGAAACCAACUCAAAUAAGUUCAGGGAGGAAAAGAAGACGGUCAUGAUAGAUUGGUGAAUGAGGAAGGAAAAGAAAGCCUAAACUAUCCAAGUAAGAUAGCGAAAGAGAAAGCUGUCUUUAAAGCCUGUUUUGACCAAGCAAGCAAGCUGGAGCACCUUUCACGCUAGCUUCCCAUCGCUCGAAGUACACUUCCGGUGCACUUCUCACUGAUCAACCACUUUAUCUUUAACCUAACCGCCUUCUAAAACUUCCACGGGAAAGCCAGUAGAGUAUGCCUUGGUUUAAGAGAGGAGCUCAGGUCCAUCUUGUGCUCACAAUACAUCUUAUUUAGCAGGACCUCUGGGCUCUUUAGAGAAAGGCGAAGUCUCUACUUGUUAACCAUGGAUGCCUGUUAUAUUGAGUUAUAGAGUGAAGAACAAGCCCACUUUCCAUAUCCCUUUCGUCCGGAUGAUCGAUUGCCUCAUUCUUCUUCGAAAAUAAGUGCAUUUGGCCAUUGUGUUUUUCCAACUUUCGUAAUAGAUCUGGGCAUGCAUGGUUUUCAAUAGAUAACCCUAGGCCUUCUUCGUUUCCCCACGGGCAUUCACUUCUCUUCAAGCUCGGGAUUAGCGAAACAUGGAUCCGACGCCCAUCUCUUUUUCCACUUUGCAAGGCUGAGAGACUUUACCAAUUGAUAAAAAAAAGCAUGAGCAGGAUCAGCAGAGGCAAAAUCGAAUAAAAUGGCUUAUUUGCACCUUUCUUUGGUAGGCAACGAAUCUCACGGAAUGUGGGAAUCUUUUACAGAUGUGAAUUCUCGCUUUAACGCUUCGAUAACAUACUUAUCAUCAGGUAUCUUCGGGAGCGGGGCUCGCCCUCAACAGAUAUUGUCUUUGCUUCCGCUGAUGUCGCGUCAAUUGCCCGAGGGAGCAUAACACAGCAAGCCGCAAUGAACAUGCCCGCCGCAUCUCGGAUAAUUGCUCCAGUUGCGCCAAUUCCAGUACCCGAGACAGAAAGCAGCAUCCACGUGAACUUUGACUGUUCAUAAUAUGGGAAAUUCCGAGGUGAAGGAUGCCUGCUCAGGUCAUGAUAUCACUGAUCCAAACUAUGCUACACCAAAUCUGAAUCCUGACUAGUUAGCGAAUCGUGUGCUCUGUGCGAAUGUCUUUAUUAGUCUAUUUCAUUUAAGCCCAAAGGAUCUUCGAAUACCGACUGGUCGUCCCAAUCCAAUCUCCCUUCUGCUUAUUCCAAUUUUUCCUAUUCCUAGCGAAUCAAAUGAGAUUUCUGUUCUUCCAUCAAGAGGAGAUAGUUAUCGAUAAAGCAAAAACGAACCUAUUGACAUAGAAUGCAAUCGAAAUAGAGACAACUAGGCGAAAAAAAGACCGAAAUAAGAAACUUCUACUCCCUAGGUGGUUAUUUGCCGCAUAAGACAGCGGUGGAAGCUGAAGGAAAGAGUGGGCUUUGAAUCUAGGUAUGCUUUCUAAGGAUUGCGCUGCGCCUAGCCUACCUUUACGAACAUACCUCUGUCUUUCAAACAAAGCCCUGUGUGUGGAACUACUUAGAUUUGUUUUCGAAUUGCUUUUCUCGGGCCAUCGAGAAGUCAGUCAGCGGUUGGCUUGAGUCCUCAAGUUGGUCUUUAAGACUUAGCAGGGCCCUACACACAGUACACCUUAGUAGAAGGUAGAUUUCUCUCACCCUAUGUGCAAUCAAGCUCAGAGACUUGAGCCGCAGAAUUCCUUGCCCACUGACUGAAGAAGCUCCCUACAGUGUCCAAAUCGAGGGAUCAAUCCAACAAUCUUCUCCUUUACUCAAAGGAGUAGGUGGAAGAGUUAUGAGAGAAAUCAAGCGAUAGUGCUUGACCAGUGAGAAGUGCACCGGAAGUGUACUUCGAGCGAUGGGAAGCUAGCCUGAAAAGGUAGAGCAGAGGUGCUAACAAUAAUAAGAAUCUUUCAUCCUGCAAGUUACUCAUAAUUGAGAACUGGUAAUGUGGAUUUUGUUCCAUGCAGCUACACCUUUUCGAAAGCAAAUUCGAGGAAAUCGCUUCUUUCUUCCCAUCCCGACCUGUAUCACUUGACUUUUAGAUUGGCAAACUAAUACCAGGUUGAUGACUUCACUUCUCUUGGGAACUUGCUUCUUCCUUCACCGAAGUUAGUAGUUAGCUUUUAUGGGCAAGGUGCCAUACUGGGAAUCCAGUCAAAUGGGCCAAAGCAAUCCAAGGCAGAAGGCCCGUUUUAAAUAACUAAUCUCGUGCUCACAGCCACGCCUGCUGGGCUUGCCCACAACACGCCUUAUCUAUAGCGCAAACAUCCACUAAAAAGGGUUGCUCCCGUGAGGAUUCGACCACGCGACGUCAAGUCCCCGUUCUAGUCAACUAACCACUAGAGCAACCAAUCACUCGUGAAUACUUUCAGCAUGAAACAUUUAAGAAUAAGUAAAGCCACGCUAUUUAUUGCACACAGAUUUGGGAAAAUGUGAUUUUUUUUGGAAG
rnacentral:lncRNA from 1 species